CAGCUCCAUAAGGGAAGAGAUUUUUGUUUUGUUCACUGAUGUAUCCUCGGUGCCUGCAACAGUGUCUGACAUAUGAAGAGCACUUAAUAAAUACCUGUUGAAAGAAAGAACCAAUCAGCAGAUUUAUCAAAAAUGGAUUUGUCAAUGAUUGUCUGAAGUUCAGAAUAGCUCCCGUUUUCCCACAGAAGCAAUGCUAUGGAUGCUGUAGUCUCAGAUGAACUCAUGGAAACCUACUAAACUCAUAAUUUAGCCAAAAAAUAAUAUUUUGGUACAGAGCACCAUUCGGGGACAGUCUUCCCAGAAUGAAGUUGAAGGGCAGCCAUAUGUUCCUCAGGCUUGCUAAGAGAGGUCCAGAGGUUGGCUAAGAGCAGAUGGAGUUCAACUGGGUCUUGCAAGUUCUGGAGGUAAGAAGUCCAAAAUGGUCACACUGGACUAAAAUCAAGUUGUCGGCAGCUCUGUUCCUGAUGGAAGCUCUAGAGGAGAAUCCGUUCCCUUGGCUCCUCUCUCUUCUAGAGGCUGUCCGCCUUUCUUGGCUCUUCCAACCAGCAUUUACUUCGCUCCUACUUCUGCUUCCAUCAUCACAAUUCCUUCUCUCACUCAGACCCUCCUGCCUCCCAUUUUCACUAAUAAGGACCCUCAUGAUAACAUUGGGCCCACUCUUGUAACCCAGUAUCAUCUCCCCAUCACAAGAAACUUAACUCACAUCUGGAAAGUUCCUUUCUCUAUAUAAGGUAACACAUUGACAGGUUUCUGGGGAUUCGGAUUUGGGGAUGUUUGGAGGUCAUUAUUCUGCCUAAUACAAGGCCAUAAACUAUUGAGUUUCAUUUCUAACAGAGAAGUGUCAGAAGAAAAUGAAUGAUCAAUUGUCAUGUUUUAUAAUUGUUCAUCUCCCUCUCAUACACCCCCAAACCUUUUUAUUCCUGUGCCCUAUCUCUAUUUUAUAUUAGAAAUGGCUAGAAUUUGUUGGGUGUUUGUAAGUGUCAGCUACUGUGCUAGGCAACUUACUUGUAUUUUCAUAUUUAAUUGUCUCAACAAUCCAAUGAGGUAAGUGCCAUCCUCAUCCCCGUGUUGUGAAUGGGAAAACUGAGGCUUACAGAAGGUAAGUCAUUUGUCUGAGAUUUUACAGCUGAAAUUCAAACCUAGGUCUGUUUGAAUUGAGCUAGGGCUCCUAAACAAUAAGAAAAAAAAAAACAGAAUAUAUUGAGGCUUACAACAAACAAAGGUCUCUUCUUGCUCGUGCUCCAUAUUGGACACUACGUGUUCAUCUGGGGCCUGCUGCAGCCUGCACAUCAUGAUCAUUCUGAGACUCUGGCUGAAGAGGCAGCCCCUGCCUGGGAGAUUGUCCUUCUCAGAUGCUGCUCUUCGUUAGCAGUGGGGAAAGACAGGGAUGGAGUGGGACUUCUUGGAGGCUUUUAGGGUGUUAAUUUGGAAGUGAUGUGCCCCAUUUCUGUUCACAUCUCAUUGGCCAAAACAAACUCAGUGACCAAGCCUGAUAUCCAUGUAGCUGGGAUGAAUCAUUCUGUCACCAUGCAGGGCAGCAAAUAUUUGGAAAUGAUAAUACACUCUGCUAUGACUCUUAGCUCUGUGCUCACUGAGAUGAGAGGAAAAACAAUAAACUAUUAUUAUCACAGAGAGUCAAGAUGACUUUGGACUUUCCUUAGUGGCACAGCACUCACCUCCAGGCCAGAUGGACUCCUGGGUCUAUGUAGA